rnacentral:rRNA from 1 species
CCUACGGGAGGCAGCAGUGGGGGAUAUUGGACAAUGGGGGGAACCCUGAUCCAGCGACGCCGCGUGAGUGAAGAAGUAUUUCGGUAUGUAAAGCUCUGUCAGCAGGGGAGAAAGAAAUGACGGUACCUGACCAAGAAGCCCCGGCUAACUACGUGCCAGCAGCCGCGGGAAUACGUAGGGGGCAAGCGUUAUCCGGAAUUACUGGGUGUAAAGGGAGCGUAGACGGUUAAGUAAGUCUGGAGUGAAAGGCCGGGGCCCAACCCCGGGACUGCUCUGGAAACUAUUGAACUUGAGUGCAGGAGAGGUAAGCGGAAUUCCUAGUGUAGCGGUGAAAUGCGUAGAUAUUAGGAGGAACACCAGUGGCGAAGGCGGCUUACUGGACUGUAACUGACGUUGAGGCUCGAAGGCGUGGGGAGCAAACAGGAUUAGAUACCCGAGUAGUC